CGGUUACUCAGCGAACCAGCUCAGGGGAUAAGCGUGUCGCCUUCCGAAGAUAAUAUGCAUUAUUUUAAUGUUAUGAUCCUUGGUCCAACGCAGUCUCCUUAUGAAGCCGCUUAUUUUAACAAGAAUUCUUGAAAGACAACAAUCUACUGGAUCUUUCGACAAUCAUAACUCCAAAAUCAGAGCACAGGCAAG